rnacentral:rRNA from 1 species
AGUGAACGCUGGCGGUAGGCCUAACACAUGCAAGUCGAACGGCAGCACAGUAAGAGCUUGCUCUUACGGGUGGCGAGUGGCGGACGGGUGAGGAAUACAUCGGAAUCUACUUUUUCGUGGGGGAUAACGUAGGGAAACUUACGCUAAUACCGCAUACGACCUACGGGUGAAAGCAGGGGAUCUUCGGACCUUGCGCGAUUGAAUGAGCCGAUGUCGGAUUAGCUAGUUGGCGGGGUAAAGGCCCACCAAGGCGACGAUCCGUAGCUGGUCUGAGAGGAUGAUCAGCCACACUGGAACUGAGACACGGUCCAGACUCCUACGGGAGGCAGCAGUGGGAAAUAUUGGACAAUGGGCGCAAGCCUGAUCCGGCCAUACCGCGUGGGUGAAGAAGGCCUUCGGGUUGUAAAGCCCUUUUGUUGGGAAAGAAAAGCAGCAGGUUAAUACCCCGCUGUUCUGACGGUACCCAAAGAAUAAGCACCGGCUAACUUCGUG